UGGGGAAUAUUGGACAAUGGGGGGAACCCUGAUCCAGCCAUGCCGCGUGUGUGAAGAAGGCCUUAUGGUUGUAAAGCACUUUAAGCGAGGAGGAGGGUACUGGUAUUAAUACUACCAGGUACUGGACGUUACUCGCAGAAUAAGCACCGGCUAACUCUGUGCCAGCAGCCGCGGUAAUACAGAGGGUGCAAGCGUUAAUCGGAAUUACUGGGCGUAAAGCGCGCGUAGGUGGUUCGUUAAGUUGAAUGUGAAAGCCCCGGGCUCAACCUGGGAACUGCAUACAAAACUGGCGAGCUAGAGUAGGGCAGAGGGUGGUGGAAUUUCCUGUGUAGCGGUGAAAUGCGUAGAUAUAGGAAGGAACACCAGUGGCGAAGGCGACCACCUGGGCUCAUACUGACACUGAGGUGCGAAAGCGUGGGGAGCAAACAGG
rnacentral:rRNA from 1 species